AUGGACGAGAUCGUCAAGGGCAUCGGCUUCUGCCAGGUGAAGCAGAUCUUCGCGCCAUACUCGCCGCACUGUUCCCGAACUCUUCCCGGGCGUCGCGGCCGGGGACUGCCGGGACAAGGACAGGGCGGCCGAGCAGCGGUGCCGGGGCGAGACGGACCAGUACGGCAACCACCGCUCCCCAAGGAUCGUGUCGCUGAAGCACCACUGGUGGUGGAUGAUGAACACCGUGUGGGAUGGGAUAGAGGAGACCAAGGACUUCCAUGGACACAUUCUCUUCAUCGAGGAGGACCAGUACAUCUUCCCCAACGCGCAGUUGCUUGUGGAUUUGAAGCCAAAGAAGUGUCUCCAAUGCUAUGCUAUGCUAUGCUGUCCAUUUGGCGCCGUGUGAUGUCAAGGCGAAAGGGGAAGGUUGGGAGAGCAUGGUUGCUGAGAAGAUGGGUAACAUUGGCUAUGCUUCAACAGGACUGUGUGGAGGAAGAUUCAUGGCAAGGAUGA
rnacentral:rRNA from 1 species